rnacentral:rRNA from 1 species
ACGUGAUCUGAGUUCAGACCGGAGUAAUCCAGGUCAGUUUCUAUCUAUAAAGGGCUUUUUCUAGUACGAAAGGACCGAAAAAACAUGGCCAAUGUUUGAUACAAGCCAUACUCAUCAACUUAUGAUUUAAACUAAAUAAACAAGUGACCUUUAACCCUCUUCUAGACGAGAA